UUAGAAAGAACUAAUGACAAAUGCAGACAAUGACAAAAAUAUCCCUUUGCUAUAUGUCUCCAAGGACAAUUUAAAGAUGUUUGCCCUGCACCGAAUACUUUUCCUGCUUUAACACAAAGUCCAUGCCAAUUCUUGAUUAACCAGCAGGAAUUUCACACUGACCCUCAGGAUCAAGCUAUUCCAACUCUGAAAAUGAGGAUAAGGCCAAUGAAGAAUUCAACCUUGACCUUGAAAACAAACUGGACAUCCUCCUGGUGACUUCAACAUAAGUGUGGUAAAGGUAAUUGCUGACUUCAGUUGGCAAGAGCAAUAUGAUUAAUUUUAGUGCAAGGAAGUAAUUAAAAUAAUAUGUUCGCACAGGAGCCCAGCACUACCUUGGAAAAGCAGCCAACAUAAUGAAAGACUUGUCCCAUCCGGGUCAUUCCUUCUUCUCUGAGCUCCCCGUCGGGCAGAAGGUUUGCUGCUGUUAAAAUUCUUUAAUGUGAUUGACUCAACCAACUUUGGGCAGCAUAGCGGCACAGCAAUAGACUUGCUGCUUUACAGGGCCAGAGACCAGGGUUCGAUCCUCACAACUGGUGUCUGUACGGAGUUUGUACGUUCUCCCCAUGACCGCGUGGGUUUUCUCCCGGUGCUCCAGUUUCCUCCCACACUCCAAAGACGUACAGAAAGCAACAGAGAAAGAGGACGGGGAAGAAUGUUUGCUUUUUACCUUCCUGCCUUUGAAUCUCCACCCUUUUGGAUCACACCCCAGUUCAGA